GAGUUUGAUCUUGGCUCAGGAUGAACGCUGGCGGCGUGCUUAACACAUGCAAGUCGAACGAGGAAUUUUAAAUGAGACUUCGGUGGAUUUUAAAAUUCUUAGUGGCGGACGGGUGAGUAACGCGUGGGCAACCUGCCCUGUACAGGGGGGACAACAGCUGGAAACGGCUGCUAAUACCGCAUAAGACCACGGAGCCGCAUGGCUCAGUGGGAAAAACUCCGGUGGUACAGGAUGGGCCCGCGUUGGAUUAGGUAGUUGGUGAGGUAACGGCCCACCAAGCCGACGAUCCAUAGCCGACCUGAGAGGGUGACCGGCCACGUUGGGACUGAGACACGGCCCAAACUCCUACGGGAGGCAGCAGUGGGGAAUCUUCCGCAAUGGGCGAAAGCCUGACGGAGCAACGCCGCGUGAGUGAAGAAUUAUUUCGGUAUGUAAAGCUCUAUCAGCAGGGAAGAAAAUGACGGUACCUGACUAAGAAGCCCCGGCUAACUACGUGCCAGCAGCCGCCGCAGU
rnacentral:rRNA from 1 species